rnacentral:rRNA from 1 species
GACGAACGCUGGCGGCGUGCUUAACACAUGCAAGUCGAACGGAAAGGCCCUGCUUUUGUGGGGUGCUCGAGUGGCGAACGGGUGAGUAACACGUGUGUAACCUGCCCUUGACUUUGGGAUAACUUCAGGAAACUGGGGCUAAUAUCGGAUAGGAGCUCCUGCUGCAUGGUGGGGGUUGGAAAGUUUCGGCGGUUGGGGAUGGACUCGCGGCUUAUCAGCUUGUUGGUGGGGUAGUGGCAUACCAAGGCUUUGACGGGUAGCCGGCCUGAGAGGGUGACCGGCCACAUUGGGACUGAGAUACGGCCCAGACUCCUACGGGAGGCAGCAGUGGGGAAUAUUGCACAAUGGGCGGAAGCCUGAUGCAGCAACGCCGCGUGCGGGAUGACGGCCUUCGGGUUGUAAACCGCUUUCGCCUGUGACGAAGCGUGAGUGACGGUAAUGGGUAAGGAAGCACCGGCUAACUACGUG